rnacentral:rRNA from 1 species
UAGUCCACGCCCUAAACGAUGUCGACUAGCUGUUGGGUUCAUAAAAGAACUUAGUGGCGCAGCUAACGCGUUAAGUCGACCGCCUGGGGAGUACGGCCGCAAGGCUAAAACUCAAAUGAAUUGACGGGGGCCCGCACAAGCGGUGGAGCAUGUGGUUUAAUUCGAUGCAACGCGAAGAACCUUACCAUCCCUUGACAUCCAGUGAAGUUACUAGAGAUAGUUUCGUGCCUUCGGGAGCACUGAGACAGGUGCUGCAUGGCUGUCGUCAGCUCGUGUCGGGAGAUGUUGGGUUAAGUCCCGCAACGAGCGCAACCCUUGUCCUUAGUUGCCAGCAUUAAGUUGGGCACUCUAAGGAGACUGCCGGUGACAAACCGGAGGAAGGUGGGGACGACGUCAAGUCAUCAUGGCCCUUACGGGAUGGGCUACACACGUGCUACAAUGGUAGGUACAGAGGGAAGCCAAACAGUGAUGUGGAGCGGAACCCUUAAAGCUUAUCGUAGUCCGGAUUGGAGU